rnacentral:rRNA from 1 species
GGUGAACGCUAGCUACAGGCUUAACACAUGCAAGUCGAGGGGCAGCAUGGUCUUAGCUUGCUAAGACUGAUGGCGACCGGCGCACGGGUGAGUAACACGUAUCCAACCUGCCGUCUACUCUUGGACAGCCUUCUGAAAGGAAGAUUAAUACAAGAUGGCAUCAUGAGUCCGCAUGUUCACAUGAUUAAAGGUAUUCCGGUAGACGAUGGGGAUGCGUUCCAUUAGAUAGUAGGCGGGGUAACGGCCCACCUAGUCUUCGAUGGAUAGGGGUUCUGAGAGGAAGGUCCCCCACAUUGGAACUGAGACACGGUCCAAACUCCUACGGGAGGCAGCAGUGAGGAAUAUUGGUCAAUGGGCGAGAGCCUGAACCAGCCAAGUAGCGUGAAGGAUGACUGCCCUAUGGGUUGUAAACUUCUUUUAUAAAGGAAUAAAGUCGGGUAUGGAUACCCGUUUGCAUGUAC